GAUAUACAGAAAUGAAUAAUACAAAUCAGAAUGGAGAAAACAGAAGGAUAGAAUGAUGCGGAAGAUGAAGUGCCGAAAUGGGAAAAAGAAUUACAACAAGAAUUGCAGGAAUAUGAAGUUGUUGAAGGAGAAGGCACUGGUGAUAAUGAACAAUGGGA